rnacentral:rRNA from 1 species
UAGGGAAUAUUGGACAAUGGGGGCAACCCUGAUCCAGCAAUGCCGCGUGAGUGAUGAAGGCCUUAGGGUUGUAAAGCUCUUUUACCCGGGAUGAUAAUGACAGUACCGGGAGAAUAAGCUCCGGCUAACUCCGUGCCAGCAGCCGCGGUAAUACGGAGGGAGCUAGCGUUGUUCGGAAUUACUGGGCGUAAAGCGCGCGUAGGCGGCUAUUUAAGUCAGAGGUGAAAGCCUGGAGCUCAACUCCAGAACUGCCUUUGAGACUGGAUAGCUAGAAUCCUGGAGAGGUGAGUGGAAUUCCGAGUGUAGAGGUGAAAUUCGUAGAUAUUCGGAAGAACACCAGUGGCGAAGGCGGCUCACUGGACAGGUAUUGACGCUGAGGUGCGAAAGCGUGGGGAGCAAACAGGAUUAGAUACCCCCGUAGUCC